rnacentral:rRNA from 1 species
GACAUCCAGCGAACUUGGCAGAGAUGCCUUGGUGCCUUCGGGAACGCUGAGACAGGUGCUGCAUGGCUGUCGUCAGCUCGUGUUGUGAAAUGUUGGGUUAAGUCCGCAACGAGCGCAACCCUUAUCCUUUGUUGCCAGCGAUUCGGUCGGGAACUCAAAGGAGACUGCCGGUGAUAAACCGGAGGAAGGUGGGGAUGACGUCAAGUCAUCAUGGCCCUUACGAGUAGGGCUACACACGUGCUACAAUGGCGCAUACAAAAAGAAGCGACCUCGCGAGAGCAAGCGGACCUCAUAAAGUGCGUCGUAGUCCGGAUCGGAGUCUGCAACUCGACUCCGUGAAGUCGGAAUCGCUAGUAAUCGUGGAUCAGAAUGCCACGGUGAAUACGUUCCCGGGCCUUGUACACACCGCCCGUCACACCAUGGGAGUGGGUUGCAAAAGAAGUAGGUAGCUUAACCUUCGGGAGGGCGCUUACCACUUUGUGAUUCAUGACUGGGGUGAAGUCGUAACAAGGUAGGCGUAGCGAG